GUCAGCGACAAUACCACGUAGAAAGCAAUGGUUCUCGUCCAAUAACCGAAGUUAAGCAACGUUUUUCCCGGUAAGUACUUGGAUGGUGACUGGCUGGGAAAACAUUGUGUUGCUGAUC
rnacentral:rRNA from 1 species